GACGAAGGGGGCUAGCGUUGUUCGGAAUUACUGGGCGUAAAGCGCGCGUAGGCGGUUACUCAAGUCGGAUGUGAAAGCCCUCGGCUUAACUGAGGAAGUGCACCCGAAACUGAGUAGCUAGAGUACCAAAGAGGGUCGCGGAAUUCCCGGUGUAGAGGUGAAAUUCGUAGAUAUCGGGAGGAACACCGGUGGCGAAGGCGGCGACCUGGGUGGAUACUGACGCUGAGGCGCGAAAGCGUGGGGAGCAAACAGG
rnacentral:rRNA from 1 species